UGGGGAAUAUUGCGCAAUGGCCGCAAGGCUGACGCAGCGACGCCGCGUGGGGGAGGAAGGGUUUCGGCCUGUAAACCCCUGUUGCUCGGGACGAACGACGUGGUUUGCCACGUGUGACGGUACCGAGUGAGGAAGCACCGGCUAACUCCGUGCCAGCAGCCGCGGUAAUACGGGGGGUGCGAGCGUUGUCCGGAAUCACUGGGCGUAAAGGGCGCGUAGGCGGUUUGGUAAGCGCGUGGUGAAAGCCCGGGGCUCAACCCCGGGUCGGCCAAGCGGACUGCGAGACUGGAGCGUGGCAGAGGCAGGCGGAAUUCCGGGUGUAGCGGUGGAAUGCGUAGAGAUCCGGAAGAACACCGGUGGCGAAGGCGGCCUGCUGGGCCACGGCUGACGCUGAGGCGCGACAGCGUGGGGAGCAAACAG
rnacentral:rRNA from 1 species